AGUCCUGUCGAAUCAAAAUAGCAGCAUACGGGGAUGCGUUUAUUUGUGUUUUUUUACUUCGCUACGACGCAUUUGACAAGUUUAUGGUUUAGUUUCGUAGGUAUGCCUGGAGCAUUGACAGUAAACGACACUCAUUGCAUUGUGAUGCACCCCUAGAAUCAGAUCCCAGAUCACAAGUAAUUGACCCCGAAGCCUAGCAUCUGUUGGUGUUGGAAUGCUUCACUGAACUGGCAGUCACUGUAGUGUCAAAGUGCUUACAGUGCAGGUAGUCUUCUAAUAUCUACUGCAGUGAAGGCACUUUAAGCACUAUACUGACACUGUCUUCAUUGUACACUAAUCUUCCGAACCUUCACUGGUGCUUAUGCUAAGGUGCAUCUAGUGCAGAUAGUGAAUUAGACUAGCACCUACUGCCCUAAGUGCUCCUUCUGGCAUAAGGGUCUGGGACUCAUCUGGUCUAUGACGUGUAUGAUUUAUUCUUGCAGAUCUCUGCUAGUUUUGCAUAGUUGCACUACAAGAAAAAUUGAGUUGUGCAAAUCUAUGCAAAACUGUCGGUGGCCUGUGUGUCCAUCUGUCCUGUUUGUCUACAUUGACAUCGGUUGAGCAUCCUGGAAGGCUCUUGGACAUCCAAGACCCUUUCUCCCACAGCAAUGUUAAUGUGUGCUGCAGAUGGGUUUCAGCAGUAUUAAAGUGCUUAUAGUGCAGGUAGUUUUAUGGAUAUCUACUGCAGUGUGAGCACUUGAAGUACUUCUAGAUGCAUGCAUCACCACCGGGUACAGCAGAUGCCACUUGGGGCUGGAGCCACUGGUCUCUGGUUAGUUUUGCUGGUUUGCUUUCAGCUUUUCAAUGUACUGCUGUGCAAAUCCAUGCAAAACUGAUCAUAGCAGUGAUUUUAAAUCAUUCAUCAGAAUAGCAAUCCCUUUCUGUGCAGGUUGGGAUAGGCAGCAAUGCUUAUUACUUGUAUGGUAUUGCACUUGUCCCGGCCUGUUGAGGACUUGGGGAAUUGUCCUGCUGCUGAAGGUCUCCCGGGUGACAUUACAGACACAAUCAAUCUCUCAAUGUUUCCAAUAGAUUUGAAGUAGUGUCUUGAUUUGCUGACUGCUUUAAUAAAUUAUUUACUUUUGCUUACGGCCUCACUCUGUAAACAGUAUCUAGAUUUCAUUGUAGUUGUCCAUCCAACUGAAGAUGGUAUUGUUAUUUCAAAGAUGAAUGUGAGUAACAUUGUGUUGAAAGCAAACAUUUUAAUGAUCUAGGACAAAAUAAAAUGUUUUCAAGAUAUUGGGA